GGCUGGUCUGAGUGCAGUGGUUGUUACAACUAAUUGAUCACAACCAGUUAUAGACUUCUCAGUUCCUUCUCACUCCCACUGCUUCACUUGAUUAGCCAGGA
rnacentral:Y_RNA from 1 species